rnacentral:rRNA from 1 species
UAGGGAAUCUUCCGCAAUGGGCGAAAGCCUGACGGAGCAACGCCGCGUGAGUGAUGAAGGUCUUCGGAUCGUAAAACUCUGUUAUUAGGGAAGAACAAAUGUGUAAGUAACUAUGCACGUCUUGACGGUACCUAAUCAGAAAGCCACGGCUAACUACGUGCCAGCAGCCGCGGUAAUACGUAGGUGGCAAGCGUUAUCCGGAAUUAUUGGGCGUAAAGCGCGCGUAGGCGGUUUUUUAGGUCUGAUGUGAAAGCCCACGGCUCAACCGUGGAGGGUCAUUGGAAACUGGAAAACUUGAGUGCAGAAGAGGAGAGUGGAAUUCCAUGUGUAGCGGUGAAAUGCGCAGAGAUAUGGGGGAACACCAGUGGCGAAGGCGACUUUCUGGUCUGUAACUGACGCUGAUGUGCGAAAGCGUGGGGAUCAAACAGG